rnacentral:lncRNA from 1 species
AGAGAACUAUGAUUAACUUCCCUCAAUGCUUCCUGCUGUUUGUUCCAUCAUCAAGGCGGAGGACCAUGAGGCGUGCAGGAGCAGGUAUAUGUAUCUCUUCAUCAGGGCAACGAAGGUAAAAUACUGAUGUUGCACAGCGCCGCGCCAGCGAGUGUGCUUGGCUGGCGGCGGCCGCAACAACCAUUGCGCCCGAGUAGAUCAGCAGCCCUGGUGGCGAGAUAGCAUCGAAGUUAGUCGUAGAAUUCCCACCACAUGUGCUUGUACUAGUUACCACGAGAGCAGCUGGAUUAUCUUGAGAUUGCUAUCAUGAUUAAUGAAGUCAGAACUUGCUUGUGCGCACGAGGUACGUGCACGUCCCAACUUCUCUUCAACUCAUACAAGAAGGAAAUGUCUGCAUACAAUGAGGCCAUGUACACAUGUAUCCUGAGGUCCUUCUCUUGACAGCCCUGUGGCGUCCGAAGGUAUCAGUGGCAAGGGCGCGUCUUAGCGGCCACAUUGGCGAUGGGCGCGUGUGUUGGUGCGGUGCACCCAUCACUCAGCAUUAAUUAGAACACCUAGGAGGCACUCCAAAUUAUCAGUUUUGCUAGAACUCAUCUAAAUGAGAUAUAAUUUGGUCUCAUUCAUCUUUUAUAGCCAUUGUAUGUGAUGCUAUAAGAUGCUAUAAGAUGCGUGUGUGCUGACGUGAAUGUUAUAUGUUCUUAUUUUCCAAGUGAAUGAGACCAAAUUAUAUCUCAUCUAGGUGAGUUCUAGGUACUCCCCCAAAUUAUAGCCGAGGAAGUGGAUCUUCGGACAUAAAGAUGAGACUAUGUCGCAGUCAUGCAUUAAGAAUAGUGCAAGCGAAUUCACUUACAUGACGAGGAAACUUGUUGUGACCAUGUAGCAGCUAUGGUACCAGCCAACAAUACAACCUCUUUUUUUU